GGACAACCUGGUUCAAUCUGCUGUCCACCAGACACUGGGUGACAAAUUCACCUUCAGCAGGACAAUAACCUAAAACACAAGGUCAAAUCCUAGAGGACAACCUGGUUCAAUCUGCUGUCCACCAGACACUGGGUGACAAAUUCACCUUCAGCUGGACAAUAACCUAAAACACAAGGUCAAAUCCUAGAGGACAACCUGGUUCAAUCUGCUGUCCACCAGACACUGGGUGACAAAUUCACCUUCAGCAGGACAAUAACCUAAAACACAAGGUCAAAUCCUAGAGGACAACCUGGUUCAAUCUGCUGUCCACCAGACACUGGGGGACAAAUUCACCUUCAGCAGGACAAUAACCUAAAACACAAGGCCAAAUCCUAGAGGACAACCUGGUUCAAUCUGCUGUCCACCAGACACUGGGUGACAAAUUCACCUUCAGCAGGACAAUAACCUAAAACACAAGGUCAAAUCCUAGAGGACAACCUGGUUCAAUC